UUUAUACUCACUCUGUCUGGAAAUACUUGCCGGAGAAAUGCAUGUAUCUAGACAUAUUUUAGUUCUAUAUACAUUCAUUUUUAUCCAUUUUUUCGACAAGUAUUUUUAGACGGAGGGAGUAUGAG
rfam:Triticum aestivum genome assembly, contig: Triticum_aestivum_CS42_TGACv1_scaffold_558567_7AL